UGGAGAGUGGCAAAAAUGGGCUCUUUUAAGUAUUAAAUGAUAGAAUUAAGAAUAAAUUAUAAAUAUAUUUUGGGUCAAAAUAAUUCAUCAUUUCAAGAACAUUUUGAUUUUGCAAUAUAAUUUAUCAUUUUCAAGAAAACUUUUUACUUUGCAAUAUAAUUUUACAAAAUAUUGACUGCAAUCACAUGUUUAGAUAAAUUAAUUAUGUAAUGCUUUUUAAUCUAUGUUUUGUGUGUGUAAUAUCUCUUUUUCAAAUCUAAUUUAAACCAGCCCUGACAAUCCACGUGCAGUGGGGAAAGGGGGAGACUGGUUUUAAUCAGACUGUCUUUUUUUGCAGAAAGUAGUUUAUUCAACAGAACUUGGCUCCAUUGGAAAGUGGCGAAAGAUGGGCUCUUAAGUAUAUGGUUAUUAAUAAAAGUGUUCAGAAUAAAAUAUCAAUAUAUUUUAGGUCAAAUAUAAUUUAACAAAUUCAUGAAAAUUUUGACCUUGCAAUAUUAUUUUUCAAAUUCAAGAAAAUUGAUUUUCCCAUUACAUGUUGAAAUAAAUUUAUAAUGUGUUUUGUUUCCUAUCUUUCUUUUUGCAUUUUAUUUCAAACCAGACUUUAAAAAUUAUCACUAAAUAACCAAAAGAUUUGAAGUUUUCAGGUUCAUGGAAAGCCAUAUUUGUAUGGGGUAAUAUCUUGUUACCGGGGUAAUAGUAAUAUAAAAAAGUAUAUUAGCAAUAUUUUGCGUAUAGUGGUCACAAUAAAUAACCUUAUUUACAGGGAUAUAUGUGCACUACAUUAUAGAUCGACAGAAAAAUAUUUUUAUUUAAAAGUAAAUGUACUAAUGCAAAUAAAUGUCAUAUAAUAACUUCAGAAAUACAUCUUAUUUACUAGCCAUUUCUAUAUUAACAUUUAACAAUCUAACAAACUUAACACUUUGUCUUUGUCAUUGUUAUGUCUAAUUUUCCUUGGUAUGUCUAAUCUUCAUUGGUAUGUCUAAACUUCAUUGGUCAUUUCUGAGUGGUGUUUUCUUUAUUUGGUGCUAUUUUGCUGGUUUGAAUUGUUUCCUUUGUUUAAUAGUUGAAAUGUUAUCUAUAAUUUCUAUAGAAUUUCUUAGUUAUGUAUUUCUGAAGUUUCUUUGUAAGAUAUUUUAAGCUUUAAAAAGUUUUUUUCAUGACUUUCUCAUUUGAUGCAGUUAACAAUUAAAUUUUUUUGGGUAAUUAUUUCAAAAUUAUAUAACUAGUGUACUGCAUGCAGUAGUCCAUUAUCCUUCACAUUACUAAAGUUGUCAAGAUCCUUGUCCAUAUUUGUUUUUAUCAUUUGCUUCAGGGUUUCUGGGGGUACCUAAUGGCGAACAACGGAUUAUUUUGGUACAUGACAAUAAAAUUUACAUUUUUUCAGACUACAAAAAAAAUCAAGUUAAUUUCUUUUUCCAAAAAUUAAGAUACAAUAAUUAAUUAAUAUUGACCUUGGAGGAAUCACUAUAAGGAUUUUUUUGACAAAUCACAGUAAAACUUUACCAAUUUCAUGCUAAUGGUAGCCUAAAAUUACAGUUUGACGCUUAACAUUAAAGGAGGUUAUAUAAAUAAAUAUAUGUGGAUAGCAGCUCCUUAUGAUUUGUUUUAAAAGUCUGCCAGUUCACCAAUAAUGCCAAACCAAUAUUAGAAUAAAUGUCGUGAAUAUGCAUGCAAUAUAUCCAACUGGACAUCAACUGGCUUCAACGAGUUGGAAUAUUUUUGAAAGAUAGUUAUAUCCUAGCAAGAGAUCUCCAUUUGGCAUUACCAGAACCAGAUCUGAUGGAAGAAGACAAACUUUCCAUUGAUGAUGGCAGACUUGUUUCAAUCAGAAAGAUGGUCAUAUUUGAUGCAUCAAGAAAUCAAGGCUUUUCCAUGUUUAUUUUAAGUGUAUUUUUAUAAAUUGAGGUACUACAGUCUGAAGACUUGACAAUGAGGAACAUUUCAUCAACAGAACAGAUGAAACUAGCAAUCAGGAAGAGAUUUUUUUCCUCAAUUUUGAAAUGGUUUAAUGCAAAACUUGAGCUUCAUUCAAUGCUGGCCUCAAUAUUCACAAAGUUCCAUUGGGAAGAAAUUUACCUGAUGUUUAGGUAAGUCAGCAUUACUACAAAUACAAUACACAAAUGCAGUUUAAGAGAAAGGUUGUAUCCUUUUAUAAAAUUUUCUUGUUAAAAAAUUCAGUUGAGUUAUUUCCCUUGAUUCUACCAGUUUAUAUAUUUUAUAGCUUCAAAACUAAUUGACACAUGACAGGACUCAUUGCUCAAUGAAUUUCUUUUCAUUAAUAACUCAUAACCUUCAAUAUAAACUAAUCAUGUAAAAAUAUGUGCAUCACAUAAGCAUACUUAGAAAAGGGGGGAUGCAUUGCUGAAAAUUAUUUCAAGGGAGAUAAUUUUAGAGAUUUUUUCUUCAGGACCAAAUAUUAUAAUACAAUAUUAUAUCAUCAUCAUAUUUACAAAUAGGGCUGACAUAACAUUUGUAUCUUACUCUAAGGUUCUAAAAUUUAUCAUUCCAUUUUUAGGUAUUAUUUGAUGCUUCCAAUUCUGGAAUUUCUUUAGGGAAAAGGUGGA